UGGGGAAUAUUGCACAAUGGGGGAAACCCUGAUGCAGCGACGCCGCGUGAGCGAAGAAGUAUUUCGGUAUGUAAAGCUCUAUCAGCAGGGAAGAUGAUGACGGUACCUGACUAAGAAGCCCCGGCUAACUACGUGCCAGCAGCCGCGGUAAUACGUAGGGGGCAAGCGUUAUCCGGAUUUACUGGGUGUAAAGGGAGCGUAGACGGCGAAGCAAGUCUGGUGUGAAAACCCGGGGCUCAACCCCGGGCCUGCAUUGGAAACUGUUUUGCUUGAGUGCCGGAGAGGUAAGCGGAAUUCCUAGUGUAGCGGUGAAAUGCGUAGAUAUUAGGAGGAACACCAGUGGCGAAGGCGGCUUACUGGACGGUAACUGACGUUGAGGCUCGAAAGCGUGGGGAGCAAACA
rnacentral:rRNA from 1 species